rnacentral:tRNA from 1 species
GGGUGUGGCUCAGUGGUACAGCAUCUGCUUGGCAUGCAGAAGGUCCCCGGUUCAAUCCCUGGCAUCCCCA